CAGCCGCCGCGGUAAAACGGAGGGGGCUAGCGUUGUUCGGAAUUACUGGGCGUAAAGCGUGCGUAGGCGGUUCGUUAAGUCUGUUGUGAAAGCCCCGGGCUCAACCUCGCGCCUGCAGUGGGUACGGGCAGACUAGAGUGUGGUAGGGGAGAUUGGAAUUCCUGGUGUAGCGGUGGAAUGCGCAGAUAUCAGGAGGAACACCGAUGGCGAAGGCAGAUCUCUGGGCCAUUACUGACGCUGAGGAGCGAAAGCGUGGGGAGCAAACAGGAUUAGAUACCCCCGUAGUCCCUGUCUCUUAUAC
rnacentral:rRNA from 1 species